rnacentral:rRNA from 1 species
AUUGAACGCUGGCGGCAGGCCUAACACAUGCAAGUCGAGCGGAUGAAGGGAGCUUGCUCCUGGAUUCAGCGGCGGACGGGUGAGUAAUGCCUAGGAAUCUGCCUGGUAGUGGGGGAUAACGUCCGGAAACGGGCGCUAAUACCGCAUACGUCCUGAGGGAGAAAGUGGGGGAUCUUCGGACCUCACGCUAUCAGAUGAGCCUAGGUCGGAUUAGCUAGUUGGUGGGGUAAAGGCCUACCAAGCCGACGAUCCGUAACUGGUCUGAGAGGAUGAUCAGUCACACUGGAACUGAGACACGGUCCAGACUCCUAAGGGAGGCAGCAGUGGGGAAUAUUGGACAAUGGGCGAAAGCCUGAUCCAGCCAUGCCGCGUGUGUGAAGAAGGUCUUCGGAUUGUAAAGCACUUUAAGUUGGGAGGAAGGGCAGUAAGUUAAUACCUUGCUGUUUUGACGUUACCAACAGAAUAAGCACCGGCUAACUUCGUG